rnacentral:rRNA from 1 species
UACAGAGGUCUCAAGCGUUGUUCGGAUUCAUUGGGCGUAAAGGGUGCGUAGGCGGCGCGGUAAGUCGGGUGUGAAAUCUCGGAGCUUAACUCCGAAACUGCAUUCGAUACUGCCGUGCUUGAGGACUGGAGAGGAGACUGGAAUUCCCAGUGUAGAGGUGAAAUUCGUAGAUAUUGGGAAAGAACACCGGUGGCGAAGGCGGCGACUCGUGG